UAAAUAAUCUCCGAACAAUUGUGUCUAAGGAUACUUAUAUUUAUGAUGCUUUUGUCAAACAAACUAAUAUGAUAACAAUUUGAAGCAUUAAGAAUGUUUAAUUUAUAUAAAGUUAAAAAUAAUGGUAGGAUUUUAUUAAUAACUAUUAAUUGUUAACAAUAAACUGUUUUGUUUCAGGGUUCUGUGGGAAACCGCACAGCCUUCCGUAUUUGAAAAGGAGGAUUAUUUAAACU
rnacentral:ncRNA from 1 species